rnacentral:misc_RNA from 1 species
AAGGAUCAUUAACGUGUUCGUUCGGCCGUUCGGGUCGGCCCUGCACCGACGGAGACGUCGUGCUGCGGGCUCCCGGGCGCGCCUUCCAAACCAAACCCCUGUGAACCUUUGGGAGGGUAGAGCCUUCAUCGGCGAAGCCGUCCCCUUUACAAACUCUGUAUCUCAUAGAAUGACCGCGGACAUCGUCUGCCUAAACACAUAACAACUUUCAACAACGGAUCUCUUGGCUCUC